rnacentral:misc_RNA from 1 species
CUGGCUCCAUAUCUAAUUAAAACAAUAUAAUAUUUACAAUUAAACUUUCUUACACAAUUAAGUGAUUACUUCAUUUCUAACUGGUUAUCGCCGAACGCGCGUGAGUGCAAUGUCGAUGAACAGUGUUUAAUUUACUAAACUUUUAAUUUAUCACAACGAUGCUACCAUUCCAUUGUGUAUAGGUUAAGUUAUAAAACAUCGAUCUGUAUUACUGUUCCACCCAUUAAUCCUUUUUGGAUCCUCAGCCCAUACAGAAGAGGCACAUAGUACCAUCGAUUCCCAGAACAAUCUUCUAACUAGAAAUCUGCAAAUUUGUUAACCUAUAUAAUGGGACCAACUGUGCUCCUGUCUCUGUGGAAACCAUACUGGCUUUUGUGAUAUGGCUAUUGCCACAGAUAUUUCUCAGUGGAGGAUUUAGAAAUAUUCCCCCAUAUCUUGCUCAUCGCAGAGACACCAUCCACGCCAGCCGCCCGUUUAGAAUUUAAUCGUCCAAUGGCAUUCGCUAAC